AGGGGUGUAGCUCAAUUGGUAGAGCGUCGGUCUCCAAAACCGAAGGUCGCAGGUUCGAGACCUGCCGCCCCUGCCA
rnacentral:tRNA from 3 species